AUACCAAUUGUUGCCUCGGCGGAUCAGCCCGCUCCCGGUAAAACGGGACGGCCCGCCAGAGGACCCCUAAACUCUGUUUCUAUAUGUAACUUCUGAGUAAAACCAUAAAUAAAUCAAAACUUUCAACAACGGAUCUCUUGGUUCUGGCAUCGAUGAAGAACGCAGCAAAAUGCGAUAAGUAAUGUGAAUUGCAGAAUUCAGUGAAUCAUCGAAUCUUUGAACGCACAUUGCGCCCGCCAGUAUUCUGGCGGGCAUGCCUGUUCGAGCGUCAUUUCAACCCUCAAGCCCUCGGGUUUGGUGUUGGGGAUCGGCGAGCCCUCGUGGCAAGCCGGCCCCGAAAUCUAGUGGCGGUCUCGCUGCAGCUUCCAUUGCGUAGUAGUAAAACCCUCGCAACUGGUACGCGGCGCGGCCAAGCCGUUAAACCCCCAACUUCUGAAUGUUGACCUCGGAUCAGGUAGGAAUACCCGCUGAACUUAAGCAUAUCAAUAAGCGGAGGA
rnacentral:rRNA from 1 species